GACGAACGCUGGCGGCGUGCUUAACACAUGCAAGUCGAACGGAAAGGCCCUGCUUUUGUGGGGUGCUCGAGUGGCGAACGGGUGAGUAACACGUGAGUAACCUGCCCUUGACUUUGGGAUAACUUCAGGAAACUGGGGCUAAUACCGGAUAGGAGCUCCUGCUGCAUGGUGGGGGUUGGAAAGUUUCGGCGGUUGGGGAUGGACUCGCGGCUUAUCAGCUUGUUGGUGGGGUAGUGGCUUACCAAGGCUUUGACGGGUAGCCGGCCUGAGAGGGUGACCGGCCACAUUGGGCCUGAGAUACGGCCCAGUAUCCUACGGGAGGCAGCAGGGGGGAAUAUUGCACAAUGGGCGGAAGCGUGAUGCAGAAGCGCCGCGUGCGGGAUGACGGCCUUCGGGUUGUAAACCGCUUUCGCCUGUGACGAAGCGUGAGUGACGGUAAUGGGUAAAGAAGCACCGGCUAACUACGUG
rnacentral:rRNA from 1 species